rnacentral:rRNA from 1 species
UACGUAGGGACCAAGCGUUGUCCGGAAUCAUUGGGCGUAAAGCGCGCGUAGGUGGCCAUUUAAGUCCGCUGUGAAAGUCAAAGGCUCAACCUUUGAAAGCCGGUGGAUACUGGAUGGCUAGAGUACGGAAGAGGCGAGUGGAAUUCCGGGUGUAGCGGUGGAAUGCGUAGAGAUCCGGAAGAACACCGGUGGCGAAGGCGGUCUGCUGGGGUCGAACUGACGCUGAGGCGCGACAGCGUGGGGAGCAAACAGG